AGCGGGGUGGAGCAGUUGGCAGCUCGUCGGGCUCAUAACCCGAAGGUCGCAGGUUCGAGUCCUGCCUCCGCAACCA
rnacentral:tRNA from 1 species